ensembl:misc_RNA Metazoa_SRP Metazoan signal recognition particle RNA
GCCGGGCAUGGUGGCUCACGCCUGUAACCCAAGCACUUCGGAGGCCAAGCUGGGCGGAUCACCUGAGGUCAGGAGUUUGAGACCAGCCUGGCCAUCAUGAUGAAACCCCAUCUUUUUUUUUUUUUUAAGACAGGUUUCACCAUGUUGGUCAGGCUGGUCUCAAACUCCUGACCUCAGGUGAUCCGCCCAGCUU